UUGAAGAUGGCACGUUUAUGACGAUCUUUCUAAUUUAGUCAUCCCAACUCUCCUUUCGUGUUUGGGAAAUAUUUUUCUAAAUAAUGAAGGAAAUAUGUUUUGUCCUACUCGUCACUUUUCACUACGUUGCGGCUUUGUUUCAAUACGGAGAACAUAAAAAGGGUGAAGUUAUUUCAUAUAAAUUGAAGAGUACAA